CCAUUAAACCAAGUGAUUCGUUCUACUCAUCGAGGUCGUCCCCAAUUUCCUGAAAUUGUGAAAACCUCCCUGCCCUACCUCUCUCGUCUACGUCUGCCAUCGUUUUACUUCGUGCUUCCAUUCUCUCGGCUACCUCUCUCGUGGCCUCGUUUUCGUUUGUGCUUCCAUUAUCUCGUCUACCUCUGUUGUUUACCUCUGUCUGUCCGGUGGCAUUGUGCGCCUCUCCGUUCUGUUCGGUCUCAUCGAGGUUCUUGGUGCCGUUGUGGGUGGGGUAGCCACAAGGGUGGUGUUUCGUCGUCAUUACGCUUUGGCGCCAUAGGAGUGGUGGUCCGUGGUUGUGCGCGUCAGGCUUGUGUUCAGAGCUGGCGAUGUGCAGGGGCUUCCCUUUUGUGCGAGAAGACGACACCUGGGAGGAGUCGAAGCAGUAAAAGAAAAUGAUAGGGAGAUUGGAACACGGGACAGUAAAGGAAAAGAGAAGUGCCUAUUAGCGCACCAGCUGAAAAAUCCCUUUGCCUUUACUGUAACAAAAGGGGACGAGUGUAUGCUGGAAGAAGCUUUGGAAGAAGUGGAAGUUAGGACUGAACCUUAAGACCGUUCGGCAGUUAGAGUUAUUUUAUUUUGUAUAACCAUUUGGUAUAAGCAUAGUUUUAUAAUCGUUCGGUUUAGUCCUUCUUUUUGAAGAGACUAAAUUCUCUAGUAUUGUUGUAAGGUCGUUCGGCCAAAACGUACCUUUUCUCUUUUAGAACU